rnacentral:lncRNA from 1 species
UAGGCCCUCGUCGGGGAGCGCGAGCGCCCAACUGCAGGCACAAAUAAAGUUUGUUCCAAUCCAAUCCAAUUCACUAACGAUCUGCAUGCGCGU